rfam:Picea glauca, whole genome shotgun sequence.
AGCUAUUUAUUUAGCCAAGGAUGACUUGCCUACACCUUGUUAUGAGCAUCUGCUAGUUAUGAUGAUAUUGAUUUCAGGGUCUGGGCAGGUUGUCCUUGCUAAAUAUUUUGCUCC